rnacentral:rRNA from 1 species
GACGAACGCUGGCGGCGUGCUUAACACAUGCAAGUCGAACGAUGAAGCAAAGAAUUGAAGCUUCGGCAGAAAUUCAUUUCGGAUUAGUGGCAGACGGGUGAGUAACGCGUGAGCAACCUACCUCUUACAAAGGGAUAGCCUCGGGAAACCGGGAUUAAUACCAUAUAACAUUGCGACGAAGCAUUUCGAUGCAAUCAAAGCUACGGCGGUAAGAGAUGGGCUCGCGUCCCAUUAACCAGAUGGUGAGGUAACGGCUCACCAUAGUAACGAUGGGUAACCGGCCUGAGAGGGUGAACGGUCACACUGGAACUGAGACACGGUCCAGACUCCUACGGGAGGCAGCAGUGGGGAAUAUUGCACAAUGGAGGGAACUCUGAUGCAGCGACGCCGCGUGAGUGAUGAAGGAAUUCGUUUCGUAAAACUCUGUUCUAUGGGAAGAAAAGGACUGUACCAUAGGAGAAAGCGCCGGCUAAAUACGUG